GACAGAGGCCUCGAGCGUUAGGCGGAAUCACUGGGCUUAAAGCGUGUGUAGGCGGAUCGUUAAGUGUCUUGUGAAAUCCCACGGCUCAACCGUGGAACGGCUGGGCAUACUGGCGGUCUUGAGCGGUCCAGGGGCGAGCGGAACAAGCGGUGGAGCGGUGAAAUGCGUAGAUAUCGCUUGGAACGCCGACGGUGAAAACAGCUCGCUGGGGACCCGCUGACGCUGAGACACGAAAGCCAGGGGAGCGAACGGG
rnacentral:rRNA from 1 species